UAGGGAAUAUUGGACAAUGGGGGCAACCCUGAUGCAGCGACGCCGCGUGAGCGAUGAAGCCCUUCGGGGCGUAAAGCUCUUUCGACCGGAACGAUAAUGACGGUACCGGGAGAAGAAGCUGCGGCUAACUACGUGCCAGCAGCCGCGGUAAUACGUAGGCAGCAAGCGUUGUUCGGAGUUACUGGGCGUAAAGAGUGCGUAGGCGGUUUUCCAAGUUCGGUGUGAAAUCUCCCGGCUUAACUGGGAGGGUGCGCCGAAGACUGGGAAGCUGGAGUGUGGGAAAGGCAGGCGGAAUUCCUGGUGUAGCGGUGAAAUGCGUAGAUAUCAGGAGGAACACCGGCGGUGUAGACGGCUUGCUAGACCAUAACUGACGCUGAGGCACGAAAGCGUGGGUAGCAAACA
rnacentral:rRNA from 1 species